rnacentral:tmRNA from 1 species
GGGGGCGAAACGGCUUCGACGGGGAUAAAGAAGUUCGGGUUGCAUACCAAGCGCUUACCUGCUUGUAAAAAAGGUGGGAACUAAACAUAAUCGCAGAUGAUUAUAAUUACGCUUUAGCCGCUUAGGGCUAACGUCCUGCCGGACCAUUCCUGCUAAUCCGGUAAGGGCGUCGACUAGCAGGAUAGCCGAUCCAGGAGACUUGAAAAGGCGAAAACUAGAGUUCAGGAUAUGUAUGUAGAAGCCUGUGCGGAAUGUUUUCGGACGCGGGUUCGACUCCCGCCGCCUCCACCA